rnacentral:lncRNA from 1 species
GGUGGUCCAGGUCCUCUACCUCCAGGAGGUGGUGGGGGAGGUGGUCCAGGUCCUCUACCUCCAGGAGGUGGUGGGGGAGGUGGUGCUCCAUGUAUUGGAGGAGGUGGUGGACCGCCACCAGGAGGAGGAGGAGGUGGUGGAGGACCGCCUCGGGGGGGAGGAGGAGGAGGUGGAGGGCCGCCACUAGGGGGAGGUGGAGGAGCUGGAGGGCCACCAUCGAGGGGAGGUGGAGGUGGAGGAGCUGGAGGGCCACCACCGGGGGGAGGUGGAGGAGCGGGCCGACUGCAACUUGGAGGAGGUGGAGGAUCUGGAGGGCCACCAUCGGGGAGAGGUGGAGGAUCUGGAGGCCCAACUAUUGAAGGAGGUAGAGGCGAAGCUCCAGGUACUGGAGGAGGAGGAGGAGGAGGAGGUGGAGCUGCUGACAAUGGA